rnacentral:rRNA from 1 species
CCUACGGGUUGCACCAGUGGGGAAUAUUGGACAAUGGGCGAAAGCCUGAUCCAGCAAUGCCGCGUGAGUGAUGAAGGCCUUAGGGUUGUAAAGCUCUUUUACCCGGGAUGAUAAUGACAGUACCGGGAGAAUAAGCUCCGGCAAACUCCGUGCCAGCAGCCGAGGUAAUACGGAGGGAGCUAGCGUUGUUCGGAAUUACUGGGCGUAAAGCGCGCGUAGGCGGUUUUUUAAGUCAGAGGUGAAAGCCCGGGGCUCAACCCCGGAAUUGCCUUUGAAACUGGAGAACUUGAAUCUUGGAGAGGUCAGUGGAAUUCCGAGUGUAGAGGUGAAAUUCGUAGAUAUUCGGGAGAACACCAGUGGCGAAGGCGACUGACUGGACAAGUAUUGACGCUGAGGUGCGAAAGCGUGGGGAGCAAACAGGAUUAGAUACCCGCGUAGUC